rnacentral:rRNA from 1 species
ACUAGAGGAUCGGAGAGGAGAUUGGAAUUCUCAGUGUAGCAGUGAAAUGCGUAGAUAUUGAGAGGAACACCAGUUGCGAAGGCGGAUCUCUGGACGAUUCCUGACGCUGAGGCACGAAAGCUGGGGGAGCGAAGAGGAUUAGAUACCCUCGUAGUCCCAGCCGUAAACGGUGCUCACUUGCUGUGGGCGGAUUCGACCCCGUCCGUGGCGAAGCUAACGCGUUAAGUGAGCCGCCUGGGGAGUACGGUCGCAAGAUUAAAACUCAAAGAAAUUGACGGGGGCCUGCACAAGCGGUGGAGUAUGUGGCUUAAUUCGAUGCAACGCGAAGAACCUUACCUGGCCUUGACAUGUAGUGGACUGGGUGCGAAAUCACCCUUUUCUUCGGAACUGCUACACAGGUGCUGCAUGGCUGUCGUCAGCUCGUGUCGUGAGAUGUUGGGUUAAGUCCCGUAACGAGCGCAACCCCGUGUCCUGUUGCCACCCGGAUGAGAAUCCGGAGCACUCUGGACAGACUGCCUGGUUUCAACCAGGAGGAAGGUGGGGAUGACGUCAAGUCAGUAUGGCCCUUACGGCCAGGGCUGCACACGUACUACAAUGCCUAGUACAAUGGGAAGCGAGACCGCGAGGUGGAGCAAAUCCCCAAAACUAGGCUCAGUUCAGAUUGUAGGCUGCAACUCGCCUACAUGAAGGAGGAAUCGCUAGUAAUGCCGUAUCAGCUACGACGGCGUGAAUACGUUCCCAGGCCUUGUACACACCGCCCGUCACAUCAUGAAAGUUGAUUGUACCCGAAGUCGCUGAGUUAACCGUAAGGAGACAAGUGCCGAAGGUAUGGUUGGUAAUUGGGAUGAAGUCGUAACAAGGUAGCCGUAGGGGAACCUGUGGCUG